UAUCACUCUCCCACUCCCACACGUUCUUCUCUCCCUCUCAAAACUCAGUCGCCUCCCUCUCUUUUUCUUUCUCUGUUAUCUUCUCUCUUCCCCAUUUCUUCUUUCUGUUCUCAAAAUCCAGUCUCCUCCAUCACCCGUAUCUCUUUCUCUCUUCCUCCCUCUCACCCCAUCUAGGUCCAAGGUGACGCUCCGCCUAGGUCGAAGGCUCUCGGUGGUGGGAUGGACGGCGGGCUAGGCUUGCGCUAGGGGAUGGGCGCACGGGUUAUCGAAACAACGGAGGACCUUGCUUGAUGGUCGUGUAAAAACUUUACACCCAAAUAUUCAUGGGGGUAUUAUGGCUAGAAGAGACCAAAAGCAUCAUACGGAGGCUCUAAAUGAACCUGGAAUUAGUGCAUUUGAUGUUGUGGUGGUGAACUUGUACCCCUUUUAUGAUAUAGUCACUUCGACUAAAGAAAUUGAGUUUGAACAUGGAAUUGAGAUUCUGCCCCUCCAGUUGACUAAAGCAGUAACUGAUGAAUACACCUUGGUCUCUUCUAGCCAAGUUUUCGAGCUUGGCUUUAUCAUUGUAAAUAAUUCUGCAAGUAUGUUGAAUAUUUUAACUAAAGUGUGUUAUAUACAUUAUCAAUUCCUCACUUUGCUUGCUGGUUCAUCGGUUUAUACUUGAUCAUAAUUUGUGUGUAUUUGUAUGUCUUUGGCACUGACUCCCACGUCAAAAUAGCAUUUUUUUCUUUGUUA